CCCAGACUCCUACGGGAGGCAGCAGUGGGGAGUAUUGCGCAAUGGGCGAAAGCCUGACGCAGCGACGCCGCGUGAGGGAUGAAGGUCUUCGGAUCGUAAACCUCUGUCAGCAGGGAAGAACGGUCACUGUGCUAAUCAGCAGUGAAUUGACGGUACCUGCAAAGGAAGCACCGGCUAACUCCGUGCCAGCAGCCGCGGUAAUACGGAGGGUGCGAGCGUUAAUCGGAAUUACUGGGCGUAAAGCGCACGUAGGCUGUUGUGUAAGUCAGGGGUGAAAUCCCACGGCUCAACCGUGGAACUGCCCUUGAUACUGCAUGACUGGAAUCCGGGAGAGGGUGGCGGAAUUCCAGGUGUAGGAGUGAAAUCCGUAGAUAUCUGGAGGAACAUCAGUGGCGAAGGCGGCCACCUGGACCGGUAUUGACGCUGAGGUGCGAAAGCGUGGGGAGCAAACAGGAUUAGAUACCCUCGUAUGU
rnacentral:rRNA from 1 species